CGGGACGGGUGAGUAACGCGUGGGUAACCUGCCUUGUACUGGGGGACAACAGUUAGAAAUGACUGCUAAUACCGCAUAAGCGCACAGUAUCGCAUGAUACAGUGUGAAAAACUCCGGUGGUACAAGAUGGACCCGCGUCUGAUUAGCUAGUUGGUAAGGUAACGGCUUACCAAGGCGACGAUCAGUAGCCGACCUGAGAGGGUGACCGGCCACAUUGGGACUGAGACACGGCCAA
rnacentral:rRNA from 1 species